rnacentral:rRNA from 1 species
UAGGCGCACGGGUGAGUAACACGUAGGUAAUGUGCCUUUGGGUGGGGAAUAACUUAGGGAAACUUAAGCUAAUACCGCAUAAUGCGAUAACUUCUUCGGAAGAUUUUGUUAAGGAUUUAUCGCCUGAAGAGCAGCCUGCGGCAGAUUAGCUAGUUGGUAAGGUAACGGCUUACCAAGGCUACGAUCUGUAUCCGACCUGAGAGGGUGGUCGGACACACUGACACUGAAUAACGGGUCAG